UACGUAGGGGGCGAGCGUUGUCCGGAGUUACUGGGCGUAAAGGGCAUGCAGGCGGUCGAGCGCGUUUUGUGUGACAGCGGAUGGCUUAACUAUCCGAGGAUGCGAAAGACGGUUUGACUUGAGGGCUCGAGAGGGACACGGAAUUCCGGGUGGAGUGGUGAAAUGCGUAGAGAUCCGGAGGAACACCGAAGGCGAAGGCAGUGUCCUGG
rnacentral:rRNA from 1 species